UGCCAGCAGCCGCGGUAAUACGGAGGGGGUUAGCGUUGUUCGGAAUUACUGGGCGUAAAGCGCGCGUAGGCGGAUUAGUCAGUCAGAGGUGAAAUCCCAGGGCUCAACCCUGGAACUGCCUCCAAAACUACUAGUCUUGAGUUCGGGAGAGGUGAGUGGAAUUCCGAGUGUAGAGGUGAAAUUCGUAGAUAUUCGGAGGAACACCAGUGGCGAAGGCGGCUCACUGGCUCGAUACUGACGCUGAGGUGCGAAAGUGUGGGGAGCAAACAGGAUUAGAUA
rnacentral:rRNA from 1 species